CUACGGGGUGCUCCAGUGGGGGAUAUUGCACAAUGGAGGAAACUCUGAUGCAGCAACGCCGCGUGAGGGAAGAAGGUUUUCGGAUUGUAAACCUCUGUUUUUAGUGAAGAAACAAAUGACGGUAGCUAAAGAGGAAGCCACGGCUAACUACGUGCCAGCAGCCGCGGUAAUACGUAGGUGGCAAGCGUUGUCCGGAUUUACUGGGUGUAAAGGGUGCGCAGGCGGGACUGCAAGUUGGAUGUGAAAAUCUGAGGCUCAACCUCAGAACUGCAUCCAAAACUGUGGUUCUUGAGUGGAGUAGAGGUAAGCGGAAUUCCGAGUGUAGCGGUGAAAUGCGUAGAUAUUCGGAGGAACACCAGUGGCGAAGGCGGCUUACUGGGCUCUAACUGACGCUGAGGCACGAAAGCAUGGGUAGCAAACAGGAUUAGAUACCCUCGUAGUC
rnacentral:rRNA from 1 species